UGGGGAAUAUUGCGCAAUGGGGGAAACCCUGACGCAGCAACGCCGCGUGAAGGAUGAAGGUUUUCGGAUUGUAAACUUCUUUGAUGGGGGACGAACAAAAUGACGGUACCCCAAAAACAAGCCACGGCUAACUACGUGCCAGCAGCCGCGGUAAUACGUAGGUGGCGAGCGUUGUCCGGAAUUACUGGGUGUAAAGGGCGUGUAGGCGGGAUUGCAAGUCAGAUGUGAAAUUUCGAAGCUCAACUUCGGAGCUGCAUCUGAAACUGUGAUUCUUGAGUAUCGGAGAGGAUAGUGGAAUUCCUAGUGUAGCGGUGAAAUGCGUAGAUAUUAGGAGGAACACCAGUGGCGAAGGCGGCUGUCUGGACGAUAACUGACGCUGAGGCGCGAAAGCGUGGGGAGCAAACAGG
rnacentral:rRNA from 1 species